rnacentral:lncRNA from 1 species
UGGCACUCCCUAGUGAGAUGAACCCGGUACCUCAGAUGGAAAAGCAGAAAUCACCCGUCUUCUGCGUCGCUCACGCUGGGAGCUGUAGACCGGAGCUGUUCCUGUUCGGCCAUCUUGGCUCCUCAGAGUGGCUGAUUUUCAAGAGGACAUGAAGAUACAACAAAUGAUUUGAGAGAGCUCUUCAAAUGGCAAACACCUAGCAUGUGGG